UACGUAGGGUGCGAGCGUUGUCCGGAAUUAUUGGGCGUAAAGGGCUCGUAGGCGGUUUGUCGCGUCUGCUGUGAAAACCUGAGGCUCAACCUCGGGCUUGCAGUGGGUACGGGCAGACUAGAGUGCGGUAGGGGUGACUGGAAUUCCUGGUGUAGCGGUGGAAUGCGCAGAUAUCAGGAGGAACACCGAUGGCGAAGGCAGGUCACUGGGCCGCAACUGACGCUGAGGAGCGAAAGCAUGGGGAGCGAACAGG
rnacentral:rRNA from 1 species